rnacentral:rRNA from 1 species
AACGAACGCUGGCGGCAUGCCUAAUACAUGCAAGUCGAACGAGAUCUUCGGAUCUAGUGGCGCACGGGUGCGUAACGCGUGGGAAUCUGCCCUUGGGUUCGGAAUAACAGCGGGAAACUGCUGCUAAUACCGGAUGAUGACGUAAGUCCAAAGAUUUAUCGCCCAGGGAUGAGCCCGCGUAGGAUUAGGUAGUUGGUGGGGUAAAGGCCUACCAAGCCUACGAUCCUUAGCUGGUCUGAGAGGAUGAUCAGCCACACUGGGACUGAGACACGGCCCAGACUCCUACGGGAGGCAGCAGUAGGGAAUAUUGGACAAUGGGGGCAACCCUGAUCCAGCAAUGCCGCGUGAGUGAUGAAGGCCUUAGGGUUGUAAAGCUCUUUUACCCGGGAUGAUAAUGACAGUACCGGGAGAAUAAGCCCCGGCUAACUCCGUGCCAGCAGCCGCCGUAA